rnacentral:rRNA from 1 species
GCAAGUCGAGGGGUAACAGCUCGGAUUUAUUCGAAGCUGCCGAAAGGCGCAUCGGUGCGUAACGCGUAUGCAACCUGCCUUAUACAGAAGGAUAGCCCCGAGAAAUUGGGAUUAAUACUUCAUGGUAUUACUGAUUCACCUGAAUUAGUAAUUAAAACUCCGGUGGUAUAAGAUGGGCAUGCGUAUGAUUAGCUAGAUGGUGAGGUAACGGCUCACCAUGGCGACGAUCAUUAGGGGUCCUGAGAGGGUGAUC